GAGAGUUGUGUAGAAUAAAACGGAAAAUAAAAGAGUUUUAAAAAGUGGGGACAGUGUAGAAGCCUCAGUGACAGAAAGAAGUGGUGAGUCACUGAGACGCGGCUGUGACCGUAGUACAGAGUGGUAGUGCAGGGAUCAGACAGAGAGCCGUAUAAGCCGCAUGCACAGUAUUUCAGUUAUUCUUAGGAAUGUAAAACAGAAACUUUAAAAAAGCAUAGUGCUGUGAUCUGUCAUGAACACUCCAGGAAGGUGCAUUUGCAAUUUCCCUUUCUCUGAAGAGGGACAAACAAAGGCAUGAGCACAUUCCACUGAGCUGUUAUGAAAAUGAAGUGCAGACAGCAGGCUGAGUAAUGAUUGCAAAUCCAAUGACCUACUUGGUGACGGCAAAGAGAAGGGAGCUGCAAGACAUGGGGCACCCAUGGCCAGAGUCUCAGGUGACUGCCAUGCCCUUCCAGUUUGUGUACACAUUAAGGAAGCUAAUGUUCUCCACUGUGGCAUGUACCAAGGUCAUAUGCUAUGUCAAGACCUGGAGUUGUGGAUCACACAGAGAUGUCAUUAGAUCGGGGGAAAAGGCCGUAAAAGAAGAGACCCAAGCAAGCCGUG